rnacentral:rRNA from 1 species
AAUGAACGCUGGCGGCGUGCCUAACACAUGCAAGUCGUACGAGAAAUCCCGAGCUUGCUUGGGAGAGUAAAGUGGCGCACGGGUGAGUAACGCGUGGGUAACCCACCCUCGAAUCUGGGAUAACUCCGCGAAAGCGGUGCUAAUACCGGAUAAGACCACAUUCCGUUUGCGGAAAGAGGUAAAAGCUGACCUCUCCAUGGAAGUUAGCGUUCGAGGACGGGCCCGCGUCCUAUCAGCUUGUUGGUGGGGUAAUGGCCUACCAAGGCAGCGACGGGUAGCUGGUCUGAGAGGAUGAUCAGCCACACUGGAACUGGAACACGGUCCAGACUCCUACGGGAGGCAGCAGUGAGGAAUUUUGCGCAAUGGGGGAAACCCUGACGCAGCAACGCCGCGUGGGUGAAGAAGGCUUUCGGGUCGUAAAGCCCUGUCAGGUGGGAAGAAACUCUUCAGUACUAAUAAUGCUGAAGCCUGACGGUACCACCAGAGGAAGCACCGGCCAACUCCGUG